CACCACGCAAUGGCCGCCCCCAGGAAAACUGUGUGAGCCAGUGCUGCGCGCUUUAAAAGUUUAAAUUAGCUUCGCGAUAAAGUUAAACUGCAGCGUAGAGAGUGAAAAUCACUGGCAGACAACUUGCUUCGAAGCUAGCUGAAGGCUAAAUGCGGAGAUGACAAGGUGAUGUAACAGCUCCAAUCGAUCGAUGUACAGAAAGAGGGCCCAAGUCUUGGUGACUUGAUUGUGGCUGACCUUGGCGAGCCGCACCUGGUGCCGCAGAGGCUGUCUCGACGGUUUGGGUGCAGCCUGUGCUCCUACACGGCGGCUGCCAGCAGUCUCGUGGAACGUCACAUGCGGACGCAUACGGGCGAGCGGCCAUACCGGUGCGAACACUGCUCCAAGGCAUUCAGCCAACGAUGCAACCUGGUGCGGCACUGCAGGAUGCACACAGGUCAGCGACUAUCAAGCGGCAUUUCAAAAAGACGUGUUUAGAGCCACCUCAAUGUCACCCUGCCUUGGAGCCUUACUACAAUAAUGCCUGGGACAAGCGAAACCCAACGAUGCCAUGUACAGAUGGGCAGUUAGCCUUAGAACGUUUGUCACAGUAUAUUUACAAGUUCACAGGUUUUGAAAUACCAUUGUUUCAAUGUAACCCCUUGCCAUGCAGCAGCAUCGGAAAGCUGAACAAGUCAAAGGAGGCAAUGCCGGAGUCCUCAGGUGAUCCAUCCAUGCUGGCAAAGAAGUCCUAUUUGCCUCUUACAGUAUUUAAUUUCAUUAUGUCGCAGCCGCUGACUAGCCGCUGAGGUAAAAUAUUUUUCUAAACAACUUGCAAUCAUCUUUUUUUGUGUGUGCAGCUUUCUUUUUUUGUUAAUGCAUCAAGAUGCUGAAGGAAGAUGAUUGAUCAAUAUAAAUGAGUGAUUGAUCAAAGUAGCCAAGUUGUCAGCGGAGAUGGUUGAUCAUUGUUGUUUUCCAGUCAAGCAAUUAUGUUUGUAAUUCUCUUGCCUGGCUGUAAUUGUGUUGUAGAUUUCACGCAGCCUUGCUGCUUUGGGCAUAGCCAUUCCAUGUAUCCGAAGCUGCACUGCAGCUUGGCGCUGUAUUCAGUGAUAGGCCGAAGGUGCAGCGUUAAGUUGCCUUCAAUGUUAAUUUAAUGUACAAGCAAACGAAUAACCUCAUUCCUGGUAUUCCUGUGUUUUUUUUUACUUGUCACAUAGUAUAGCAAGCUAUUAUCAAUAAAUAGAUCAGUAUAUAGUAUAUAUAAAGUCCUUAAAUAUUUAAAAAUAUUUACAUGUUCCAGCUACUUCUAUCACACUUUAUGGUCUCCAAACACAUUCACGUUAGUCACGCUUCUGUCAUACCUCUAUUUAGGCAGCAAGUCAGUCAGCCCAUCACAAUUGUGUUCUCAGUCUAGUACAAGUUGCUAAGAAACUAGGUGAUACAUAUAACAUUAUUGUGCCAGCCCGCAUUGUGGCAGUUAAUAGAGCGUAGUACUAUUUUAUUGUUGUUUUCUUUCCUGUACUUGUGCAUACAUAUAAGCCAUGUGCGUAUACAUUGCAG
rnacentral:misc_RNA from 1 species